GUUUUGGGUUUUAUGUGUCUCGCGUAGAGGCGCGGUAGCAAAACAAAAGCGAGGCAGCCAUAAAUAUACCGUGAGGCUAACGUCACAUUUCCUUUUUUAAAUAAGUUUUUUGUAGCUUCAGCUUGAUAAUAACUUCUAUAUAAUUAUCCUGUCAUCUUGAGGACGUGAUAAAAAAACGAAAAUGACGUGAAGAUACGUGUUGUGGUGACGGCGGAUUGGGAAAAGACUCUGUCGAGCUCAUGUUUGAGCUGAAUGCACCUCGUUUCUGUGGGACCUUCAGUGCUCCCGUUUGCCUUUAGAGAACCAUGUACCGCGUCGGUGGAGAGCGGGAAUUUCAGACGUCGGCCCGCCGCAUGGGCACGUCGCUGCUCUUCCAGCUGUCGGUGCAUGAGAGAGAACUGGACCUGGUGUUCCUGGACCACAGCUAUGCCAAGCCCUGGAACGCCCACCCAGAUGCUAGCAGUGCUCGGCCAACCCGCAUGCUUUUCGUCACCCCGCGCCACCAGCAGGACACCUCUGUGGAGUCUGAGAUGUCAGUGGAUGUCGAGACGGUCACAGCCACUCCCAUGCCUCUCUAUGACAACCAGAAAGCCCGGAGUGUGAUGAACGAGUGCGAACGUCACGUUCUCUUCGCUCGGACCGUUGCUGAUGGACCACUGCCUCCAGAUGACUGGGAAGAUCACAUUAACAAGACCGGGUGGACGAUGGCUCAAAACAAGCUGUUUAAUAAAGUCCUAAAGGCUCUGCAGGCCGAGAGACUUGCCAGGCUGGCUAAUGAAACUGUGUGUAACGAGCCAGUCCUGCGCCGGAUUGCGGUGGAUAAAUGUGCCCGUAAGGUUCGUCACGCGCUGGCCAGCGUGAACUGGGAUACUAAACUAACUCACUGGCUACACACCACCCUGGUGGCAUCUCUGAGCCUGGCCAUGUUGGCCGCCUACCUGGACGUCCUGCAGACCCUCAAAAGCAAGGUUCCUUCUCUGAUCGAGCGGAUGCUGUCAGCGUCAUCCACUAAAUCGGGUGCGGCGGGGGCCGAGGCGCUGUCUCUGCUCCUGAAGCGGCCCUGGGAUCCAGCUGUUGGUGUGCUGUCCCAAAACAAACCGAGUAAACUUCCUGGUUCACCUCUGAUCCUGAUGUGUCCAUCAGGACCGAUGGUGCCCACCUUCUCUACUUCCCGCAGAGUGAGAUUCUGGCAAUCGCAGCUCUCCUGUUUAGGCAAAGUCAUUCCCAUAAGCACUCACGUGGGCAGUGGUGCUAAUAUCGGCAUCACUCAGUGUCUGGAGCACUUAAUUGCCACCGUCAGGGGGAAAGUCAUCGAGAUACACAGUCACUUCCCUCACAAACCCAUCAUCCUGGUUGGCUGGAACGUUGGCGCACUGAUCGCUUGCCAUGUGUCACUUAUGGAGCAUGUGACUGCAGUUGUGUGUCUGGGUUUCCCUCUGCAAACAGUCAGUGGAUCCCGAGGGGAUGUGGAUGACCCCGUGUUGGACAUGAAGACCCCUGUGCUGUUUGUGGUGGGCCAGAAUGCGCUGCAGUGCAGCACAGAGAACAUGGAGGACUUCAGGGAGAAGAUCCGAGCAGACAACAGCAUGGUGGUCGUAGGAGGGGCUGAUGACAACCUUAGGAUCUGCUCCUCAAAGAUGAAAGCCGAAGGCCUGACACAGACGAUGGUUGAUCGCUGCAUUCAGGAUGAGAUCGUGGACUUCCUGACAGGCAUUUUGAUGCGAGCAGAGAGUCCCAGCCUCACCUCCGGGGAAACACGAGAUCUGGACGCUGAGAAGAAAAAGAAACCACGUCGUGAGUUGCCCUUUGAGACAGAAAGAUCGCGACCGUCCUCACCAGCCAUCAGGGUUCCCAUCUCCCCCUCAGGAUCAGAGGACAUGUCCAGUGUGUGCAGCAGUCCCACUGCCAGUCCCAAACCCAAGUCCACCAUGUCUUCGGCUCAGAAGUCGAGCCUCAUCACCGCCACACAGCUCCUCAAAUCACACAUGCAGCGAUCCGGAACCGUGCUCACACACAAACAAGCUCAAGCUCAGUUCGCUGCGUUUAUGAAACAGAACAUGCUGGUGAGGAAGAGUCUUCCUCCUGGCAGCCCUUCCUGUCUGUUUGUGCCCGUGUCUGGCGAACAGGUUGAAGGUUUGGAGCAGAAUGACCAGCGGCUCCAUUUGAAGAGGAGGCAGACCCCUAGUCCCACCAUCCCCACAAAGCAAUCCAAACGAGCCAAGAUCAAAGUCACCAUCGUCUCCCACGCUGACGCCGCCGGUGCCACGGUGCCUCCUGGCAUCCAGGAAGGAGUAUCUGGAAAACCCCUUACAGUCACAAUGGGCCAAACUGUAUCAGGUGCCAAAGAUCUUUCCGGACUUUUGGCCACACAAAGGGGUGGAGCUUUGACUGAUGUUUCCGGAGGUCUCAGCUCGAGUGGAGCUUCCUUCCACAGCCUGCAGGGCGGAGUCAUGCCCACCUCCUCGUCCACCCCAGCACAGGUCCAAACCUCUGCACAAGCUACCUCUGCUAGUAGCCUGUUGCAGGGCCUGAGCUUCAGCCUGCAGGAGAUCGGCACUAAGUCCCAAGUUUUACCCUCUAGCACACAGACAUCAGUAGGGAAGGCUCCGGCUCAUGGGCAGGUGUUAACCUCACUCAGUCCAGCAGGUGGCACUCUGAUGCGCGCUGUUCCCGUCGUCUCCGGCUCCGGAGUGCCUAAAAACACAGCCAUUCAUCAGCUCCUCUCCAACAGCAACCUGGCAAAGCUGGCAAACAGCCUCCCGGGAUUGGCCCACGUAGCCAAUCAGAGCGCGGGUCUUAAAGCCCCCACUACAAUCACGGUGACGUUGAGAGGUCAACCGAGUCGAGUUCCAGGUCUGGGCCACGUCGGAGCCAUACUUCCAGCUCACAACACACCUGAGCAACAGGUGGGGUUGUGGCUUAUCAUUUAAACAGCAAACAAGAGUGCGGUUUUACGGAAUACCUGCACAGAAAGAAAAGAAUCCAAAGAAGCCACGCUUACUUUAUAGCACGUCAACUAGGCAAUGUGCUUCUGGGAAAACUAACAUCUCUUCUACCUGUUUAUCUUCAUCGGAUGAACUUUCAUAUCUGAAGUCCAAACCUGCUUAUAUUAUAUACAGAUACUCUCAGAGUUACGAUAGUUCGGCUUACGAAUUUUCGAUAUUGCGAUGUACGAUAGCGAUACGACAAAAUUGUACAAAUAUUUUACAUUUCGCACGGCAGGCGAUCGUAGCAGCGUAUAUGGUACGAUACGUUGGGAACCCGCCCUGAUUUGUUUCAGUGUCAACGUUAGCGUUUUUUCAGUUGUUUUUUUUUUGCUCCUUUAUCAUCGCCCUCCUCAUCUUCUGACAAACUAAGUUAAUGUAGCCAUCAACAACCUAACAUUGUUCAAGUAUGCAGAUGUCGGACAGAAUCUCGUUCACCACUAUCCUUCCAGUGAACACAAGCUCCAUGGGAAAGGUUCACGCUGUGUGAAGUGCCCUUGACGCUCUCGAUGGCUUUGUCUGUAAACAGAGAGCUGAGGCUCUGAGGAAAAACGCUUGGAUGUCGCUGAUCGCCGCCUGACCGCACGGUUCAUCAUCUUUACCUGCUUUACCUCCGUGAGCGGGUUUGGACCAGCUUUGUACUCCAUUCAACGUAUGCUUUUGACCAGCUAUGGUUCUAAAAAGAAGAAGGACAUGAGGAUAUAAUAUCAGUGUUUUACUAUAAAUGUAGGAUGAAUGAGUCGAUGAUUAGUCAGUGAACAUGGUACAGAUGUGUAUACUCUGUGGAUGACAAUAAACUUUAAACUGGA